rfam:Colius striatus contig5950, whole genome shotgun sequence.
GUGCACGCUGGGCUAUAAUUUAUGAAACAGAGCCCAGGAAACAACCAAUCACUAGCUCCUCCUAACAAGUCCAACUGGCUACGAAAAGCUGGAAGUGCUGCACAGAACAAUGAAGAAGAGCUAUCCCACACAUUAAUCUGCUUAUCUAGGAUUGCCUUCUGUUCAGAGAGACGAAGCAUUUAAGAAGAAGAAAAAAAGAAAAAUCACAUAUAUGCUGUUGAAACAACAGAAUAAAUUUUAAUCAGCUGGCAAACCUUCCAUUGUUGUCAGAAAGC